rnacentral:rRNA from 1 species
UACGAAGGGGCUAGCGUUGCUCGGAAUCACUGGGCGUAAAGGGUGCGUAGGCGGGUCUUUUAAGUCAGGGGUGAAAUCCCAGAAGCUCAACUCUGGAACUGCCUUUGAUACUGGGUAUCUUGAAGUAUGGAAGAGGUUAGUGGGAAUUGCGAGUGUUAGAGGUGAAAAUUCGUAGAUAUUCGCAGGAACACCAGUGGCGAAGGCGGCUAACUGGUCCAUAAC